AGUAGCGGCGAGCGAAAUCGGAAAAGCCCAAACCCAUGUGUUUACACAUGGGGGUUGUAGGACCGCAUAAGUAGAGUUACCAAACCGGACACUACGCGAACCUGCUGGAAAGCGGGACCAUAGAGUGUGACAGUCACGUAACGGAAAGUGUACCGGACUCGAAGCGGCAUCCUGAGUACCACGAGACACGUGAAAUCUCGUGGGAAACUGGGGAGACCACUCUCCAAGGCUAAAUACUCUCUAGNNNNNNNNNNGAAACCGUAUGCUUACAAGCAGUCGGAGGGCCAUGCAUAGACUUCGGUCUGUGAAAGCCUGACGGCGUGCCUCUUGCUUAAUGAGCCGGCUAGUUAAUGUCACGUGCAAGGUUAAGCGCAAGCGAGCCNNAAUCAAAUUCCGUGAUAGCUCGUUCUCCCCGAAAUGUCUUUAGGGACAGCCUUGCAUGAAUUGCCACGGUGGUAGAGCACUGAAUGGACUAGGGACCAACUCAGGUUACCGAAUCCAAUCAAACUUCGAAUGCCGUGGACAACUAUGCGGGAGUGAGACUACGAGGGAUAAGCUUCGUGGUCAAAAGGGAAACAGCCCAGAUCGCCAGUUAAGGUCCCUAACUAUGUGCUAAGUGGUAAAGGAAGUGUAUUCGCUCGGACAGCCAGGAGGUUGGCUUAGAAGCAGCCAUCCUUUAAAGAAAGCGUAACAGCUCACUGGUCAAGCGGAUAUGCGCCAACAAUCCAACGGGGCUCAAGCACAUGACCGAAGCUGCGAAAUUAUACGAAAGUAUAUUUGGUAGGGGAGCAUUGCGUGGGGUGUAAAGGUAGACCGAGAGGACUACUGAAUGCCACACAAGAGACCCUGCCGGCAUAAGUAGCGAUAAACACGAUGAGAACUCGUGUCGCCGAAAGUCUAAGGUUUCCUGAGGAAGGUUAAUCCGCUCAGGGUUAGGCGGGUCCUAAGGUGAGGCCGAAAGGCGUAGCUGAUGGACAACAGGUCAACAUUCCUGUCCCGCCUGGCGACGUUUGACGAUGGGGUGACGCAGAAGGAUAGGGAAGCCACCUGAUGGAUGGUGGUUGCUCAGUGUAAGCCGGUUCCCGCAGGCAAAUCCGCGGGGGCAUUCAACGGUGAGACUGGGGACGAGACCGUUAGGUCGCAAAGUUUCUGAUUUCACGCUGCCAGGAAAAACCUCUAAGGAGUCGUCCAGGUGCCCGUACCACAAACCGACACAGGUAGACGAGGUGAAUAUCCACAGGCGCUCGAGAGAACGCUUGCUCAGGAACUAGGCACAUUAGUCCCGUAACUUCGGGAGAAGGGACGCCGCUGUAGGGUUUAUAGCCCGAAGCGGUCGCAGUGAAUCGCGCUCUGCAACUGUUUAACAAAAACACAGCUCUCUGCAAAGUCGAAUACGACGUAUAGGGGGUGACACCUGCCCGGUGCCGGAAGGUUAAAGCAAGGGCUUAGCCGCAAGGCGAAGGCCUGAACUGAAGCCCCGGUGAACGGCGGCCGUAACUAUAACGGUCCUAAGGUAGCGAAAUUCCUUGUCGGGUAAGUUCCGACCUGCACGAAUGGUGGAAUGAUAGAGCGACUGUCUUGGCAAGCGGCUCGGCGAAUUUGUGGUUCCGGUGAAGACGCCGGAUGCCCGCAUCUAGACGGAAAGACCCCGUGCACCUUAACUGCACUCUGGUCAUGAGUAACGGUCCGAUCUGCGUAGCAUAGGUAGGAGCCUGUGAACUUCUGGUUUCGGCUGGGAGGGAGGCAGCAGUGAAAUACUACCCUGAUUGAACUGUCGCUCUAACCUACCACCCGUGACGGGUGGGGAGACACGGCCAGACGGGUAGUUUGACUGGGGCGGUCGCCUCCUAAAUUGUAACGGAGGCGCUCAAAGAUCGGCUCAGGUGGAUUGGAAACCCACUGUGGAGUGCAAGAGCAUAAGCCGGUUUGACUGUGAGACCUACAAGUCGAGCAGGAACGAAAGUUGGAUCUAGUGAUCCGGUGGUCCCGCGUGGAAGGGCCAUCGCUCAACGGAUAAAAGGUACGCCGGGGAUAACAGGCUGAUCUAAGCCAAGAGUUCACAUCGACGCUUAGGUUUGGCACCUCGAUGUCGGCUCAUCGCAUCCUGGGGCUGUAGAAGGUCCCAAGGGUUAGGCUGUUCGCCUAUUAAAGCGGUACGUGAGCUGGGUUCAGAACGUCGCGAGACAGUUCGGUCCCUAUCUGGUGUGGGCGCAGGAAACUUGCAGGGAGUUGUCCCUAGUACGAGAGGACCGGGAUGAACGGACCCCUUGUGUACGAGCUGUCACGCCAGUGGCACCGCUCGGUAGCGAAGUCCGGAAGAGAUAAUUGCUGAAUGCAUCUAAGCAAGAAGCUCGCCCUAAGAUAAGGUUUCCCAAUCCCGCUUCGGCGGGAUAAGAAGGGCAGUCGCAGACUACGACUUUGAUAGGCUGGAGGUGUAAGCGCAGUAAUGCGUUGAGCUGACCAGUACUAAUCGCCCGUUCGGCUUAAUCAU
rnacentral:rRNA from 1 species